AUUGAUUUUAUGCUUGCAUAAAUGAUUUUUUGGAUUCGGAGCGAGUGGCGAACUGGUGAGUAACACGUGGGUAACCUGCCCCGAAGCGGGGGAUAACAUUUGGAAACAAGUGCUAAUACCGCAUAAUUAGUUGGAACCGCAUGGUUCCAACUUGAAAGAUGGCUCUGCUAUCACUUUGGGAUGGACCCGCGCCGUAUUAGUUAGUUGGUGAGAUAAAAGCCCACCAAGACGAUGAUACGUAGCCGACCUGAGAGGGUAAUCGGCCACAUUGGGACUGAGACACGGCCCAGACUCCUACGGGAGGCAGCAGUAGGGAAUCUUCCACAAUGGACGAAAGUCUGAUGGAGCAACGCCGCGUGAGUGAUGAAGGUUUUCGGAUCGUAAAACUCUGUUGUUAAAGAAGAACAAGUGUUAGAGUAACUGUUAACACUUUGACGGUAUUUAACCAGAAAGCCACGGCUAACUACGUGCCAGCAGCCGCGGUAAUACGUAGGUGGCAAGCGUUGUCCGGAUUUAUUGGGCGUAAAGCGAGCGCAGGCGGUUUUGUAAGUCUGCUGUGAAAGCCCUCAGCUCAACUGAGGAAGUGCAGUGGAAACUACAAAACUUGAGUACAGAAGAGGAAAGUGGAACUCCAUGUGUAGCGGUGAAAUGCGUAGAUAUAUGGAAGAACACCAGUGGCGAAGGCGGCUUUCUGGUCUGUUACUGACGCUGAGGCUCGAAAGCAUGGGUAGCGAACAGGAUUAGAUACCCUGGUAGUCCAUGCCGUAAACGAUGAAUACUAGGUGUUGGAGGGUUUCCGCCCUUCAGUGCCGCAGCUAACGCAUUAAGUAUUCCGCCUGGGGAGUACGACCGCAAGGUUGAAACUCAAAGGAAUUGACGGGGGCCCGCACAAGUGGUGGAGCAUGUGGUUUAAUUCGAUGCUACGCGAAGAACCUUACCAGCUCUUGACAUCUUCUGCCAACCCAAGAGAUUGGGCGUUCCCUUCGGGGACAGAAUGACAGGUGGUGCAUGGUUGUCGUCAGCUCGUGUCGUGAGAUGUUGGGUUAAGUCCCGCAACGAGCGCAACCCUUAUUAUUAGUUGCCAGCAUUUAGUUGGGCACUCUAGUGAGACUGCCGGUGAUAAA
rnacentral:rRNA from 1 species